rnacentral:rRNA from 1 species
UAGUCCACGCCGUAAACGAUGAAUACUAGGUGUCGGGGGUCAAACCUCGGUGCCGCAGUUAACACAUUAAGUAUUCCGCCUGGGGAGUACGCACGCAAGUGUGAAACUCAAAGGAAUUGACGGGGACCCGCACAAGCAGCGGAGCAUGUGGUUUAAUUCGAAGCAACGCGAAGAACCUUACCAAAUCUUGACAUCCUUUUGACCAUCAUUUAAUCAUGAUCUCCCUUCGGGGCAGAAGUGACAGGUGGUGCAUGGUUGUCGUCAGCUCGUGUCGUGAGAUGUUGGGUUAAGUCCCGCAACGAGCGCAACCCUUGUCUUUAGUUGUCAUCAAGUAAUGUUGGACCCUCUAAAGGGACUGCCGGUGACAAACCGGAGGAAGGUAAGGAUGACGUCAAGUCAGCAUGCCCCUUAUGCUCUGGGCUACACACGUGCUACAAUGGCCGUGAUAAAGAGUUGCUACUUUGUGAAAACAAGCUAAUCUCAUAAACGCGGCCUCAGUUCGGAUUGC